UCACGGUCACGGUGUGAGGAGAGAGAAUGGCGGCUGUUGGACGCAGCUGCUAACGGAGCUUCUGCUGCUGGAAGAGAAAAACGUCUUCAAACCGCUUUAUAAUCGCACAAGUCUUGUUCGUUACAACCGCGGUAGUUGCGCCUCAAAGUGCCGGUUAGUGCGGUCAUCUUGUAUCCGGGAAAAGACGACGAGGAAGGACUUUACCAAGAGGAUGCUAGCUGCUAACGCUGGUUGCUAUGUAGCCGUUGCUAAGCUGUGUAGCCGUUGCUAAGCUGCGCUGUUACCAUGGUGACGAAGUGAUGUUUUUGCUCCUGAGAGGUAAACACCUCCUAGAGAGAAAAGUUAAAUGAAUAGUUUAAGUUCGGCCUCUUGUUUCGGUUGUUCUUGUUUUAUUUUAUUCAUCAAACUGAGAGGAGGACAGUGAAGUUGGUUAGCGGUUCCUACAUCCAGGCUGACUGCAGAGAGACUCUGUCAAAACGACCUGUGCACAGCUGGGUUUGGGUGUUGUGUGUGCCAGCUGCAACGUCGUGCAGCUUGGUUCCUGCAGUUUGGUUCCAUUUCCUGUCCCGCACCCUUCAAACUCCUCUUUCAAAUGGCAGCUCAUCUCCUCUGACAAAAGGUCUUCAUAAACCAGUCUGUAGUACGAAGGGCAGCACACCUCCUGUGCAGACACAGAGCUUCUUUUCCACAACUUCCAUCUGCUAUAAAAA